UAUGGAAAAUUAAGGAUCCCCCGCCAUCCCCAAUGCAAUACAUAAUUUUUGGUGAACAACAGAACUGCCUUCCAAGCUUUCUCUGUUGUGAUGACUGAAUAUAUGGAGCCAAUUCUUGGUCCCAAUGAAGUCAAUGAGCGUUUUUCCACUGACUUCAGUGAGAUCCAAGCCUAGCUCUUAGGACCUGAUCCAAAGGCCUUUGCAACCAGUGGGUGGUUUUCUUUUACCUAGAUCAGGGCCUUCAGGGUGGUAGGGAUGUGUGUUUAUGGCAGGUGCAUUCUCUGUGCAGGAUAGGACAUUAAUAACAUUUUAUGUCUCUGAAAAGUGUUUUAUAUGUUUUUUGGAAGCACAUAGUGACUCCUACAGUUUGAUAGUUAUCAUAUUAGCUAAUGAAUCAAAGCAUUAUUUACAUAUAUUUGGAAUACAUCAAAAUACACUGCUGAGAACAUGGAAAAGAAUUGUUUAAGAUUUGCAGUCCCGAAUGAUACUGCAGGUGUCCCUGCAGCAAUUAUUUUGAUGUAAAUAGUGUUGGUAACAAGUUCAAAUCAGUUAUUCUGGAUUAGAUGCCACUAUAAACUUGGUUACUAAGAACAGACAAAGAAAAAACAACUAACUUUGCUUCCUCACUUAACUAACUCACUAUUCACUUCAUCCAUUCAUUGUGCUUCACUCUAUUUUUCAUAGUAUAUCUGAAUAUAAUUUUGCAGUGCUGCCCAACUACAUGAAAGAUAGCUGGCCUAGCUUCUACAUGGGAGAUGUUUAGUUUACGAAACUUCAACGGGAAAUAUCAGGAAUCUCAUGUUUUAGCUGCUUCUAUGAACUUUUCUAUAGUGCAGUAGUGCCCGGAGUCCCUGUUUAGAAUGGGGACCCCAUUGUGCUUUAUACCAUACAAACACAUAUGAAGAUGGGGCAAUGGAGGUAUGACAAUUUGUCUUAGCCUCAGUUUAAAAUCUAAUACAAUUCAUUUGAUCAGAGUGGUUAAAAAAAAGGCAGAGAUACUGGAAGCUUGUGGUCCUCGUCUCUAAUCUGGGAUGAGUUUAGUUUAGGUACUUGUGCCUCACUCACUACAUGGAUAAUAAAAAAACACGGAUAACAUGGAUAAUAAAAAAAACAUGGAUAAUAAAAAAAACAGGACAUAACUCAUUCUGCAUCUGAGCUGUGUUUUUGUAGGUAAAUACAUUAAAUGGAGAAAAAAAACAUUUUGCCACUCACACUGUGGCUGUGAUUUAACUUGCUAGAUACUAAUGUCCUUGAUGGCAUUACUCAGAGCUUCUUGGUCAGACUUGUCAAUAUUGACUAUGAUGCUGUGUCUCCAGCUUCUGUGUUAAAAUGGAAAUUAUUAAAAUCUAGUCAAAGACUAGGACUCGCUAUCAUGGAAUCUGUAAAUCUUGGCAUCACACCAGGCUCACCACGUGUACAAAAGUUUGAAUAGUGAGAGAUUGGGAGCUAUUUUGUGACAUAUAGUGAUGUGACAAGAUCUGUCGCUGUAGAAGACUAAAUAUUUAUACAACAGCUAAACCUUUCUUGGUUUUAUUUCUUUUUAACUAUAUGUAUAUAUGUUACUAAAUUUUGUUAAUACAGCUAGCGAGUCUAAGUUGGCAGAUCAUUUAUUUUCUUAACGAGAGCUGUUUGAACCAAUCAAGGCACAGAUUAUCUUAUUAUACCAGUCAGACCUCAUGUUACUUUUGAUAAGAUUCUAGAGAAGUCAUGCGUAAUACUUUUCUGUGGGGUGGAGUCUGCUUAUGUUACAGUUGUACGAGGUCAGACCUUAAUUUAACUCCCAACUGCAUACUUAAUUUUAGAAAUACCACAAGACACACCAGCGUGCAGGGUACUAUUCCUGUCUGUUCAAAAUACAGGCCCCAGAGUAACAAUGACAAGAUGAUGGGUUGAAAAGCUCAACCUUUCAUAUAAGAUGAUGGAAGGAAAUGAGGAUUCUAUUGAAGACCAUCUCACUGCUUAUGCAAUUCAGCUUAGUAUUCAAGAAUCAAUUGAAGCCAACCAACCAACAACUUCCCAUUACCAUGAAAGAUUUGUACCACCCAGUGAUCAAAAUAGGAAACUUAUAACAGCCAUAAGACAAGGCCAAGUAUUUGAUCUUCGGAACUAUGUGAAACAUAAGUAUGCUUUGGAUGAAGCUGAUGAAAGAGGUUGGUUUCCACUUCAUGAGGCUGCAGCUCAGCCAAUUCAGCAAAUACUUGAAAUCAUUCUGGAUGCAUCUUAUAAAUCAAUGUGGGAAUACAAAACAUGUGAUGGAGAAACACCGUUAACUUUGGCAGCAAAAGCUGGUUUUGUGGAAAAUGUAAGAACAUUAUUGGAAAAGGGUGUUUGGCCUAAUACCACAAACAAUAAAGGAGAAACACCUCUUCUCAUUGCUGUGAGACGGGGCUCUUAUGAAAUGGUAUUGGCUCUGAUUAAAUACAACUGUCGUAUCCACCAGCCAUGUGUAAAACGCUGGUCAGCAAUGCAUGAAGCUGCAAAACAAGGCUGCAAAGAGAUUGUUUCUCUGCUUCUGAAGAAUGGAGGAAAUGUGCACCUGAAAGAUGGUUAUGGGGUAACGCCAUUAGGAGUUGCUGCUGAAUAUGGACACUGUGAUGUGCUGGAGCAUCUUAUUCAUAAAGGUGGUGAUGUUCAUGCUUUAGCAGAUGAUGGUGCAUCAGUACUGUUUGAAGCAGCUGGAGGAGGUAAUCCAGACUGUAUAGCUCUUCUUUUGGAAUAUGGAGGAAGUGGUAAUGUGCCUAAUAGGGCAGGACAGCUCCCUAUACACAAAGCAGCCUAUGAAGGACAUUAUCUGUCAUUGAAAUAUCUAAUUCCUGUUACAUCCAAGACUGCAAUCCAGAGAAGUGGGUUAAGCCCCAUUCACUCAGCAGCAGAUGGCCAGAAUGUGCAGUGUCUAGAACUCCUCAUUGAAAAUGAUUUUGAUGUCAAUACUCUCCUGGCUGAACACAUUUCUGAAAACUACGAUGAUGAAAGGAAAACGGCACUCUAUUUUGCUGUUUCUAACAAUGACAUUCUCUGCACAGAAGUGUUACUCAAAGCUGGUGCAGACCCAAACAAGGAUCCUCUAAAUUGUCUUCUUGUAGCAGUGAGAGCUGGUAACCAUGAAAUCGUACGAUUGCUUCUAUCAUAUGGAGCAAAUGUCAAUUGCUACUUCAUGCUCGUGAAUGACACCCAUUUCCCCAGUGCCAUUCAGUACGCUUUGAAUGAUGAGGUAAUGCUAAGGCUGUUGUUGAAUCAUGGAUAUAAUGCAGAGAGGUGUUUUGAUUGCAUGCAUGGCGACAUCUUUGGAAGUUCUUUUGUGUGGUCACUUCCAGAAGAGGAGGUAUUACCAGGAUGGACAUCUUGUGUAAUAAAAGAUACUCCAUUCUGUGCCUUUAUUACAGUUCCUUGGUUGAAACAUUUAGUUGGACAUGUGAUUCGCAUUUUGAUAGACUAUAUGGAUUAUGUUCCUUUGUGCUCAAAACUAAAGUGUGUCCUAGAAGCACAGAAAGAAUGGCCAGAGAUACAUCAGAUAUUAGAGAAUCCUCGCCCAUUAAAACAUUUGUGCCGCCUGAAAAUACGUCAACUGAUGGGACUAAGGAGACUGCGGAGACAAGCAUCAAUGGCAAAGCUUCCUCUUCCACCAGUUCUAAAGGAUUAUAUCCUAUAUAAAGAAUAUGAUCUUUAUGGAAAGGGGCUAAAUUUAGCCUAGAUUUAAAACAGCCGUUUAAAACUUGUAAAUUAAUUCUUUAGAUUUUUUUGCUAGAUUGAGAAUUAUUUAGUAUUGUUAUAUGUACUCAAAACAUUUGAUAUUUGCUGUAAAUAGGCCUUUUAUGGGAACCUUUUAAAAAAAAUGUGGUCUGUAAAACUCAAUUUGUUUUGUCUGUUUUUACUUAACAUUGUGUCUUGAUAUUCUAAGAGCAUGAAGAAGGAGAUGAUAGUCAUUGUGCAACCCAAAACCUCCAGGAUUGGAUUUGAGCAAUACCAAGAGGAGAGGGAAAACAAGGCAUGUAUUGACUUCAUAAAAAUGUUGCCAAAAUUCCUGCGUUUGUCACAGAAGUACAUUGAUGGGACACAGACUGUAUUCUCCUCUUCCUGUCCUAAACUAUAGCUGUGCCGCUUCAAAACAGCUGCUGUGUUUCACCCUAAGCGUGUCUGUACUUCAGCAUAACUGAUAUUGAGGAAGUGUAUGGUCAGCAGAGAUGUGGAGAAGUAUUUGCUUUGAGCAGAAGCCAGAUGGAAAUAGUUUGUGCUAUCAAAGCAUGGAUGGAAGGGAAGGAGCCUUCUCUCCCAUGUGACUCCUUGUUUACAAAAUCACCAGGACAGAUGAUCUCAACAAUGGAAUCAUCUGGCAUAGAGAAAAGCAGCUGAAAAGUUAUUCCUUCACAUGCCUUCAACACAUGCUUUAUCGAGCUUGCUUUGCUGAUACCACUGUUAAAUGUAGGUGAUGACACAUAGCUUCCAAGGGCAGUUCAGUGUGCACAGUUUUCAAGAGUUGUGUUUGUCUCUAGGGUAAAGCAGAGACAGCUUGUCCCAUCACUCUGUCUUACAGCCAUGUUUAGAUAUCACACAGGACUGACUUUUUCUCUCUUCUUUUUGAUCUUUUCUCUUUAAAGAAAGGCCUCUGAAGUGCAGAUUUAGGCUGAACUACUUUGAGAAGAUUUAGGCACUUCUGAAUGCAAUGGUAUGUGACUACUCACAGCGAAAGCAAAUAUACUGCUACCUACACACACCUAGAAUACUUACUAUCAGUGGAUCAGUCAGAUUGGACUAUGCAUUCACACUGGAACUGUAGGAGUAGCACCUAGAAGCAUCUUUGUAAAGAUGGAGAAAAGAGCGCAGAGGACAUGCAGUGGGGAAGGGGGGAGAGUGCAGGGGCCAUCCAGUGUGGGAGGAGGAAUGCACACAGGGCAUGCAGUAGGGAGAGGGGAAGAGAGAGAAAGGAAAUUAUAGGGGGAGAACAGAAUGGAGGAUGGCAAGUGGAGGAGAGAGUAAGGGCCUAGAUGAAGAAACAGAGGGAAAGAAGAGAAACAAAGGGUAGAGAAAGAGGAAAAACAACCCAGAGGGAGAGAGAUAAAGGGGAGAGCCAGAUGUCCUUUUUAUUUGCAUAAAUGUAUAUUGUUUUAAACAUGCACUGUAAUUGAACAGUGCUCCUGAAGCAUGGGAUUCCAAUUCAAUUGUUUCCUUUACAAUCUAAAAUAUGUCUGGCAGGCUUCCCUUGUGCUCUGUGAUGGAACUAAAUGGCAUCUCGACAACAGGCCAUUGCACAUACUUUGAGAACAGGUUGGUCAAUAGUUUGAUUAUUUGUGCACUAUUUUUCCACUGACCGAAGUGGGACCUUGUGGUGUAUACGCCCCUGCACAGACGUGAAUUUCACCCUUUGGGCAUUGCACAUGAGCUUUCAAACUAUUGGGUCAAAAUGAUUAAACUUUGGCAACUUGUUAGAAACCUGACAAAAUUUCAAACUGUUACUUGAAACAGUUUAAUUGGUGGAAAUGAAAUGGAGGGAGAGAGUGUCUGGAAGGACCCCCCUCUUCCAAAAACUUGGGAAACAGUUCAUAAGAGAGAAAAAAGAUUAAAGUCUGCCCUAAAUAUUAGCUGCCAAUGAGGGGCUUAAGCCCCAUAUAUCUACUACUACCAUUGGCUAAAGAUGGUGUGGAAAGACACUAUAGAAAAACACACACAUGAAAAGAAACUUGUAUGCAAAGUAUCUUCAAAUGUGGGAACUAAUCCUGAACUUAUAAAAAUGGUUGUAAUUCCUAACUUUACUCUGCAUCCUUCAUCCUGCAUGAAACAAACGUGCAAGUUAGUCAGUGGCUGUACAAGGGAUUCUAGUGGCUUGUAAGCAGUGGUUAAAAAAAGAAGUGGGUAAAUUAAUCUAAACUAAAUGCUUGUAUUUGCCCAGUGAGAAGUGGGCAACCUCAGUUUAGCCUUGACUAUUCUACUGCUUGUAAGCCAAGGAAAGAUGUGCAUUCCCUCUGUGCAUGGCUUUUGCAACUUUGCAAGGUAUGAGUUUUAGAUGGGUAUAUUACUGAAGCCAGAUUGAGUGAUAUGCCUCAUCCUAAAUAACUAUCAAUAAAACCUUUAAAAUCAAACACCACCAUUUCUGGUUCUUUAUUAUUGGAAGGGCUGGCGACACCACAUACUAUUAAGGUUGCCUGACACUUCCCAUUCGAAGAGCCUGUUUUCAGUUGCUUAUAACUUUGCCAAACUUUAAUUGAUUGGGCUAAAAUUUGCCAUGCUGGGUGUCUGCCUCAGGCUGGCUUGUUCUGGGGAACAUUUCUGCCAAAACAGACAUUUCCAAGAAUGAGCCUAGGGAAAAAUACAUUAUUGUACCUGUAUUAAAAAAUUCGGCCAUUUUUUUUCUUUGACCCUCCCGCUUCUCAUGAUUCAGAGCAAGGACUUGAAAUUUGGCAGGAGUGGGAGCAGUAUCAGGGAGCCAGUUGCAGCAGGGUCAGUCUCCUAGCAACAUAAUACGCAUAGCUGAGUCUGGCAAGGGCUGCCUGAUUGACUGCACCGUCUGAUCGGCGGCGGUGCAGAGCUAAGCUCCUACUUGACCCAGCAGUACCCAGAACUUGCUGGCCGCUCAACAUGUUCCAUGCCUGUGCCUGCCCCUGCCCAGCUCUUCUCUCAGCUGUACCCCGGGGCCCUGAUUCUUGAUUCCAGCUUGGCUUGGCGCUAACCUCCAGGCCUGGCCACCUUCAUGGCUCUGACCAUUAGGCACCACCACCUAUGUCCUAAACAUAAUCUUGGCAGAGGGCUUUGAGUCAGGAAUGUGACUUUUGCCAUCCCCUUAGAACUAUGCCCAAACCUUGCCAAGUUAUAAGCCUUUGAACAAUUGCAGUUUGCGUAUGUUUAGUGGAGACUUUUCAGAUUUUAGAAGCUAAAUUCCCUGAAGAUUCUAUCCACACCAAACAUGCUUCAGUCUGAGGGUGAGCAGGACUUUCCCUGCAGCUCUGGGCUGCUGUAGAUGGUGUCGGGACUGGAUUUGGGUACCUGAAAUGAGAUCAGGGCCCCUAUCUCUCCUGUACUCUCAAUACUCCCCGUUCUGGGCCUAGCAGUUUGGAGGAGCAAGAAGCUUCUAAUCCAAAUUGAGAGGACACAAGAGCAAGACCUGUGGGAGGUAUGGAGGGCUGUAGUUCUGGCUGACGGUCUGGAGUUCUGGCCGCCGGCCCCUUGCCAGCCGGGGUCUCGGCCGCCAGCCCCGCUCAGCCCGCUGCCGGCCUGAGUGAAUGGAACCCCUGGCUGGCAGCUCAG